GACAGAGGAUGCAAGCGUUAUCCGGAAUGAUUGGGCGUAAAGCGUCUGUAGGUGGCUUUUUAAGUCCGCCGUCAAAUCCCAGGGCUCAACCCUGGAAAGCCGGUGGAAACUGUCGAGCUAGAGUCCGGAAGAGGCGAGUGGAAUUCCUGGUGUAGCGGUGAAAUGCGCAGAUAUCAGGAGGAACACCAAUGGCGAAGGCAGCUCGCUGGGACGGUACUGACGCUGAGACGCGAAAGCGUGGGGAGCAAACAGG
rnacentral:rRNA from 1 species